rnacentral:rRNA from 2 species
AAAAGAAAAGUGGACUUCCUUGUGUAGCGGUGAAUUGCGUAGAUAUUUGGAGGAACCCCAGUGGCGAAGGCUACCUCUCUGGUCUGUUCCUGACUCUGAGGCGCGAAAGCGUGGGGAGCAAACAAGAUUAUAUCCCCUGGUAGUCCCCGCCGUAAACGAUGAGUGCUAAGUGUUAGAGGGUUUCCGCCCUUUAGUGCUGCAGCUAACGCUUUAACCACUCCGCCUGGGGAGUACGGCCGCAAGACUGAAACUCAAAGGAAUUGACGGGGGCCCGCACCAGCGGAGGAGCAUGUGGUUUAAUUCGAAGCACCGCGAAGAACCUUACCACGUCUUGACCUCUUCUGACAACCCUAAAGAUACGGCCUUCCCCUUCGGGGGACAGAGUGACAGGUGGUGCAUGGUUGUCGUCAGCUCGUGUCGUGUGAUGUUGGGUUAAGUCCCGCAACGAGCGCACCCCUUGAUCUUAGUUGCCAGCAUUCUGUCGGGCACUCUAAGAUGACUGCCGGUGACAAACCGGAGGAAGGUGGGGAUGACGUCACAUCAUCAUGCCCCUUAUGACCUGGGCUACUCACG